GGUAUAGUUCUUCGGAACUUGAGACCGGCGCACGGGUGCGUAACGCGUAUGCAAUCUACCUUUUACAGAGGGAUAGCCCAGAGAAAUUUGGAUUAAUACCUCAUAGCAUAGCAGUCUCGCAUGAGAUCACUAUUAAAGUCACAACGGUAAAAGAUGAGCAUGCGUCCCAUUAGCUAGUUGGUAAGGUAACGGCUUACCAAGGCUACGAUGGGUAGGGGUCCUGAGAGGGAGAUCCCCCACACUGGUACUGAGACACGGACCAGACUCCUACGGGAGGCAGCAGUGAGGAAUAUUGGACAAUGGGCGCAAGCCUGAUCCAGCCAUGCCGCGUGCAGGAUGACGGUCCUAUGGAUUGUAAACUGCUUUUAUACGAGAAGAAACACUGCUUCGUGAAGCAGCUUGACGGUAUCGUAAGAAUAAGGAUCGGCUAACUCCGUGCCAGCAGCCGCGGUAAUACGGAGGAUCCAAGCGUUAUCCGGAAUCAUUGGGUUUAAAGGGUCCGUAGGCGGUUUAAUAAGUCAGUGGUGAAAGCCCAUCGCUCAACGGUGAAACGGCCAUUGAUACUGUUAAACUUGAAUUAUUAGGAAGUAACUAGAAUAUGUAGUGUAGCGGUGAAAUGCUUAGAGAUUACAUGGAAUACCAAUUGCGAAGGCAGGUUACUACUAAUGGAUUGACGCUGAUGGACGAAAGCGUGGGUAGCGAACAGGAUUAGAUACCCUGGUAGUCCACGCCGUAAACGAUGGAUACUAGCUGUUGGAAGCAAUUUCAGUGGCUAAGCGAAAGUGAUAAGUAUCCCACCUGGGGAGUACGUUCGCAAGAAUGAAACUCAAAGGAAUUGACGGGGGCCCGCACAAGCGGUGGAGCAUGUGGUUUAAUUCGAUGAUACGCGAGGAACCUUACCAAGGCUUAAAUGUAGAUUGACCGGUUUGGAAACAGAUCUUUCGCAAGACAAUUUACAAGGUGCUGCAUGGUUGUCGUCAGCUCGUGCCGUGAGGUGUCAGGUUAAGUCCUAUAACGAGCGCACCACCCCUGUUGUUAGUUGCCAGCGAGUCAUGUCGGGAACUCUAACAAGACUGCCAGUGCAAACUGUGAGGAAGGUGGGGAUGACGUCAAAUCAUCACGGCCCUUACGCCUUGGGC
rnacentral:rRNA from 1 species